GCGCACGAGCCCUCAACUGACGCUAAUGCUCGAAGGUGCGGGUAUCGAACAGGAUUAGAUACCCUGGUAGUCCGCACGGUAAACGAUGGAUGCCCGCUGUCUGCGAUACAAUGUAGGCGGCCAAGCGAAAGCGUUAAGCAUCCCACCUGGGGAGUACGCCGGCAACGGUGAAACUCAAAGGAAUUGACGGGGGCCCGCACAAGCGGAGGAACAUGUGGUUUAAUUCGAUGAUACGCGAGGAACCUUACCCGGGCUUGAACUGCAGGGGAACGCGGCAGAGAUGCCAAGGUCAGCAAUGACCCCUGUGGAGGUGCUGCAUGGUUGUCGUCAGCUCGUGCCGUGAGGUGUCGGCUUAAGUGCCAUAACGAGCGCAACCCCUUUCGCCAGUUGCCAGCACGCGAUGGUGGGCACUCUGGGGACACUGCCACCGUAAGGUGCGAGGAAGGUGGGGAUGACGUCAAAUCAGCACGGCCCUUACGUCCGGGGCUACACACGUGUUACAAUGGGGGGUACAGAGAGCUGGCCGCUCGCAAGUGCGGCCGAAUCAUGAAAGCCUCCCUCAGUUCGGAUUGGGGUCUGCAACCCGACCCCAUGAAGCUG
rnacentral:rRNA from 1 species